rnacentral:rRNA from 1 species
UACGGGGGGGGCAAGCGUUGUUCGGAAUUACUGGGCGUAAAGGGUGCGUAGGCGGUCCGCUAAGUUGGAUGUGAAAACUCUGGGCUUAACCCAGAGCCUGCAUUCAAAACUGACGGGCUAGAGUUCUGGAGGGGGUAGCGGAAUUCCUGGUGUAGCGGUGAAAUGCGUAGAUAUCGGAAGGAACACCAGUGGCGAAAGCGGCUUCCUGGUCCAGCACCGACGUUCAGGCACGAAAGCGUGGGGAGCAAACAGG